AACCUAGCACACCUGCGGUGUGUACCUGCGGAAGGAUCAUUACUGAGUGUAAAAACUCCCAAACCCACUGUGAACAUACCACUGUUGCUUCGGCGGAUGCGCCCCGGGCGCGCCCUACAAAGGCGUGCCCCGGAUCAAGGCCACCGCCGGGGGACCGAAACUCUUGUUUUCCUAAGGAUUCUCUGAGUGUGAUUAUUAAAUCAAAUCAAAACUUUCAGCAACGGAUCUCAGAUCGGAAGA
rnacentral:misc_RNA from 1 species